AAUUUUUAUAGUUUGAAAAAUUUACUCAAAAUUUAUUUUACAUAUAAAUUUUAGUGUUAAUUAUUAAUUUAUUUUAAUAAUAAUAAUAAUAAUAAUUUUAGUAAUUAAUAUUAAAAAUUUAGCAAUUAAGAUUUAGUAAUAAUUUAAUUAAAAACUAUUUUGUGCCAGCAGUUGCGGUUAAACAAAAUUUUAAAGUAAAUUUUAUUAGUAAAAUUAAUUAAUAAUUUAUAAUUUAAAUUAAAUAUUAAAUUAUUAAGUGAAAUUUUAAUUUAAUAAAAAUUUAUAAAAAAAUUAUGAAAUUAAUAAAUUAUAUUAAAAACUAGGAUUAGAUACCCUAUUAUUAUUAAAUUAAAUGGUAAUACUAAAAUAGUAUUUAAUAAUUUAUUGAAAUUUAAAUAAUUUGGCGGUAUUUUAGUUCAUUCAGAGGAAUCUGUUUAAUAAUUGAUAAUCCACGAGGAUAAAUUUACUUAAUUUAUAAUUUUGUAUAUCGUUGUUAAAAAAAUAUUUUAUAUUAAAAAUAAUAUUUUAAAAUUUAAAAAAUAAAUUAAAUCAGAUCAAGAUGCAGAUAAUAAUUAAGAAUAUAAUGGAUUACAAUAAAUUUAUUUAAAUGAAAAAUAAUUUGUAAGAAUUAUAUGAAGGUGGAUUUGAAUGUAAUUUUAUUUAAUUUAAUAAAAUGAUUAAAAGUUAAAAUAUGUACAUAUUGCCCGUCGCUUUCAUAAAUAAGUUGAAAUAAGUCGUAACAAAGUAGAGGUACUGGAAAGUGUUUCUAGAAAGA
rnacentral:ncRNA from 1 species